UACGGAGGAUGCAAGCGUUAUCCGGAAUGAUUGGGCGUAAAGCGUCCGCAGGUGGCAGUGCAAGUCUGCUGUCAAAGACUGGGGCUCAACUCUGGGCAGGCGGUGGAAACUGCACAGCUGGAGUGCGGUAGGGGCAGAGGGAAUUUCCGGUGGAGCGGUGAAAUGCGUAGAGAUCGGAAAGAACACCAACGGCGAAGGCACUCUGCUGGGCCGACACUGACACUGAGAGACGAGAGCUAGGGGAGCAAAUGGG
rnacentral:rRNA from 1 species